AGGACUAACGCUGGCGGCGUGCCUAACACAUGCAAGUCGAACGAGGUAGCAAUACCUAGUGGCAGACGGGUGAGUAACGCGUAGAUAAUGUGCCCUCCUGCGGGGGAUACCGUUUCGAAAGGAACGUUAAUACCGCAUAACACGAGCUAGAGGCAUCUCUAGAACGUCAAAUUUCCGGAGCGGGAGGAGCAGUCUGCGUUCUAUCAGCUAGUUGGUGAGGUAAUGGCUCACCAAGGCUACGACGGAUAGCCGGUCUGAGAGGAUGAUCGGCCACACUGGGACUGAGACACGGCCCAGACUCCUACGGGAGGCAGCAGUGAGGAAUAUUGCGCAAUGGGCGAAAGCCUGACGCAGCGACGCCGCGUGGAGGAUGAAGGCCUUCGGGUUGUAAACUCCUGUCAGUGGGGAAGAGAUAGGACGGUACCCACUGAGGAAGCUUCGGCUAACUACGCGCCAGCAGCCGCGGU
rnacentral:rRNA from 1 species